rnacentral:rRNA from 1 species
AGUCAAUAGAUACCCUGGUAGUCCACGCCGUAAACGUUGGGCACUAGGUGUGGGGAGCCGUCAACGCUCUCUGUGCCGUAGCUAACGCAUUAAGUGCCCCGCCUGGGGAGUACGGCCGCAAGGCUAAAACUCAAAGGAAUUGACGGGGGCCCGCACAAGCGGCGGAGCAUGUUGCUUAAUUCGAAGCAACGCGAAGAACCUUACCUAGGUUGAACUAUGCAGGAAAAGCCACAGAGAUGUGGUGUCCUCGGGUCGUGCGAUAGGUGGUGCAUGGCGUGUCGUCAGCUCGUGUCGUGAGAUGUUGGUUAAGUCCGCAACGAGCGCAACCCUUAUCCUAUGUUGCCAGCACGUAAU